UGCAAUCGGUAUUCUUCCUCAAGCU
rnacentral:piRNA from 1 species